UACGAAUUCAAAUAAAUGUAAUUUUAAAAU
rnacentral:piRNA from 1 species